UCAAAGAAAAUAUCAAGGCCGUUCGAUAUGAUCACAUUACGCUACACAAUAGAAAUCAAGAAAAAUAGAAGUUCGAUGGGGUGAUUGACAUACCGUACAAGCACGGCCCUGGUUUUGGCCACUCAGUAAGUAGUUGAAGUGAUAUUUUGGUCGAGCUGGGACAGUGGGAUGGGAUAUGAUUGCCUUCUCGUAUUGCCGUGGCUUGAGACAUGGACUCUCGGAAGAAAAGAGGAAGAGAGACCGAGCAAAAUGAUCCGAGAGGCUCCGAGGUGUUGGAAAGGCACGAUGAAAGACAUAUGAGGAUUCCAGCGGCGAGAUAGGAUAUGCCUGCCGACUCUCUCUAUGUUACAGCGAAAAUCUUUUGAGAUUCACUUUAUACGUAUUACUUUUCUUUUGUUUGGUUUUUUUCGUAAAAUUGGCAAGUAUUGGAUUGUGCCGAAAGAAUUCUGUAAAAACAUUAAUUCAUUCACUUAUUUGAUUGUGAUUUUAUGUCAAUUUUUUUUUUUUAUAAAAAAUGUAACUAAAAAUAUAUCAAUAAUGAAUGAAAUAAAUUAAAGUCAAGAAAAUUUAACAUAAAGUUUAAGUGGAGGAUUGAAAUUCUUGAAACUUUAUAGAGCACGUGGUUCUUCGUGUCAACUUCGGGUGUAAGAAAGACGUCCUUCUAUUUACGACAUAAGGAAGUAAUAUAUAUGCGAGAAAAAUAGAAAAAAUAGAAAUGUUUGCCAUUUUGGCUCAAACUUAAAUUUAUGAUCAAACCCAAUUUUAAAUCAUAUUUGUUCCAAGUUACUUGUCGUCGUGCAAUUAAGGAGGAUGAGUCGACAACCGAUUUAAAUUCAAUACUUAAAUAAAAGACGAGUUACUUAUGGCGCAAAAGAAGAGUGGUGAUGACGAAGAAAUUUAAGAAGUAGACAGAGACGAAGGUUGCAGACGUAAAGCAUAAACAGUCGAGGUGCGAUUUGACGCACGCUCGGGCCAUCCAAGACACAUCUCGCUCGCUGAACGUACGCUUUAAGAAUCCCGAAGAAGCGACCAGCCCGAUGGCUGGAAUCUGUAAAUCUGUCAUUGCAGCCAUAUUCGUGUGGCUGGUACCGCAGGAUAUGAACUUCUGCUCGUCGUAUAUGCCACCAUCGUACGAGACUCUAGAUCUACACGCUUCUCUUCUUUUGAGAGCUUUGCACCGAAACGGAAGCUUCUCCCUAUCUCUCGAAAUAACAAAUAUUCUUUUUGUCUUCACAAAUUUUUCUUUUUUUACUUAUAUAUAUAUAUAUAUAUAUAAGUAAUAACAAAAUGGAAAAGUUUUCUUUUUCAAUUUUCUUCAUUUGCUAUAAGAUUUUGAAGGAAGAAUUUUCUGAUUAUAAUUAAGUUUUCUAUUGUUGACAUAAAUUUGUUUGUUUUUUUCCAUUUAAAUUAAUAUUCACUUUAUAUGAAAUAUCAUAAAAAAUAACUAAACGAAAGUUAACUGGUACGUGGAAAAAAGUUGCACCGUUGAAUUGUUCAUUCAUCCACGCUUUUCAGAGUUUUAAUCUAUUUUUUUUUUUUUUAGCGACCAAUGAAUGCUCGAAAGUGGAGUGCGGUUCUUGUCGAAGGUAUAAAAACCCUUUGGUUGUAUCAAACUGCAUGGAAACUAUAAAAGCUCCUGGCAGUCGCUGUACGUAUACGCAGUAUUCCCUCUGGUAGCUAGCGAUGACGGAUUCAUGGCUCGUGGGAUAACGCAAGACCUCACCCCAAGAUGUUUCGGUUUACGGAUGCACGCUCUUCCUUGCUUUUUCUUCCUAUUUCUCACCUUUUUUUCUUCUAUCUACUGAGCGAUUCAUUUGUCGGUCUUUGAUCCGUAACCAACAAGCUACUACCGGAAAAUUAGCGAAAUUUAUUUAGUUGCUUUCCUUAUCUUGCUAUCUGUCAUUUUAUUCUUCUUGUUUCUAGUGCUACCUGCCAUUUCGUCUCCUAUGUAUAGAAUUUCAUUCAGUAAUAAUAGUUUGAAUGAUCAAGGGAAAAAGUGAAAAAUGUAUUUCGUUCAAAAUCUUUGAAUUAUUUACUCACUUUUUCAAAUAGGAUUUAAUUAAAGAAUGAUAACAUAUUGAACAUGAUUGAACAUUGGAAAGUAAUAAUUCUUUUUCUAAAAUUAUAUAUAUAUAUAUUUUAAUCGCCUAUUUCUUAUAUUCAUUUUAAUUUCUUGAAUGAAUUUUUUAUUUCUUUUUUAGGCAAAUUGAUAAUUAAAUUUAUCAAAUGGAUUAUCAUCGUCAUUGAAUUCAUCAAUUAUCAAUUGUAAACGAUUAUCGGAGAAGACAUUCCUUCAAAUCAAUUUGAAAAACAAAUCUGCAACGACAGAUUAAUUCCAAGUGAAGAAAAAUGCCACCAGCAGCGCAGUGUCACCUAACCCUGUCAGGGGUUAACUUCUAUAGAGCUAGUACCUACGAGGAAGAUGAAAGAAUAAGCGAAGAUAGGCCGACGGCCGCUUUUUAUUACCGGCGCCGUCACGCGUCACCGAUAAGCGCGGUCUUUCUGUAGCCGAAAAGUCUAUGCUUGCACCGGUUCUUCCGAAACACGAGAUUUCUUCUUUUCCUCUUUACUUUUGCUCUUUCUAUCCCCAGUUAAAAGAAAGUUCUAUUUCUUUUACGAAGGCGUACUAAGAAUCUUGAAAUUUUGUCCAACUAUCCUACAACAACGUGUUAAAAUUAUAAUAAUUAUAUCUAUCUUUAUCGAUUGACAUUAUUAUCAUUUUAUUUAAUUCAAAUUAGAAAAGAAUAUUGAAAAUUGAUUAUCAUUCGAAUAUAAUUUAAUAUUAAUAUGAAAUUUUGAUUGAUAUAUAUAUUGUUUUGAAUAUUACUUUAAAGAGAAA